CCUACGGGAGGCAGCAGUGGGGAAUUUUGGACAAUGGGCGCAAGCCUGAUCCAGCAAUGCCGCGUGAGUGAAGAAGGCCUUCGGGUUGUAAAGCUCUUUUGUCAGGGAAGAAACGGUGGAGGCUAAUAUCCUUUGCUAAUGACGGUACCUGAAGAAUAAGCACCGGCUAACUACGUGCCAGCAGCCGCGGUAAUACGUAGGGUGCAAGCGUUAAUCGGAAUUACUGGGCGUAAAGCGUGCGCAGGCGGUUUUGUAAGUUUGUCGUGAAAUCCCCGGGCUCAACCUGGGAAUGGCGAUGAAGACUGCAAGGCUAGAAUCUGGCAGAGGGGGGUAGAAUUCCACGUGUAGCAGUGAAAUGCGUAGAGAUGUGGAGGAACACCGAUGGCGAAGGCAGCCCCCUGGGUCAAGAUUGACGCUCAUGCACGAAAGCGUGGGGAGCAAACAGGAUUAGAUACCCUGGUAGUCACGCCCUAAACGAUGUCUACUAGUUGUCGGGUUUUAAUUAACUUGGUAAACGCAGCUACGCGUGAGUAGACGCCGCGGGUAGGUACGGUCGGCGAGUAAGUUAAACGUUAAAGUUAAAGUUAGUAGGUUACGUUGUAGAGNGCGACGGACGACGACGAGGGAGGAGG
rnacentral:rRNA from 1 species